UGGGGAAUUUUGGACAAUGGGCGAAAGCCUGAUCCAGCAAUGCCGCGUGUGUGAAGAAGGCCUUCGGGUUGUAAAGCACUUUUGUCCGGAAAGAAAUCCUUGGCUCUAAUACAGUCGGGGGAUGACGGUACCGGAAGAAUAAGCACCGGCUAACUACGUGCCAGCAGCCGCGGUAAUACGUAGGGUGCAAGCGUUAAUCGGAAUUACUGGGCGUAAAGCGUGCGCAGGCGGUUUGCUAAGACCGAUGUGAAAUCCCCGGGCUCAACCUGGGAACUGCAUUGGUGACUGGCAGGCUAGAGUAUGGCAGAGGGGGGUAGAAUUCCACGUGUAGCAGUGAAAUGCGUAGAGAUGUGGAGGAAUACCGAUGGCGAAGGCAGCCCCCUGGGGCCAAUACUGACGCUCAUGCACGAAAGCGUGGGGGAGCAAACAGGAUUAGAUACCCUGGUAGUCCACGCCCUAAACGAUGUCAACUAGUUGUUGGGGAUUCAUUUCCUUAGUAACGUAGCUAACGCGUGAAGUUGACCGCCUGGGGAGUACGGUCGCAAGAUUAAAACUCAAAUGAAUUGACGGGGUCAUAGCUGUUUCCU
rnacentral:rRNA from 1 species